GAGAGAAGCCUGUCACACUGAAUGGUAUCCAGAUUAGAGCUGUGAGAAUUUGGGAAAACCCUUCUCGCUAAGCUCUUCCAUCAGAGAAAGGAGAGCAGGGCCAGUUGGACUUCAGACCUCAGACCACGCUUGGUUUUCUCAGGUUUCCCUGUACACAAAGGGAAAUUUUCCACAGAGGUCCAACCAGGAGGUACAGCCAGAUCUUGAAGUGGCCGCUGAGCCUGGCAUGUGAGCUUGGUUAUCUGUCCCCAGUGGGCCCUGUAUCAUCACCCAUUUGUGUUUCCCAUCCUGUUGGUGUUUUUUUCGCUGCUGAGGCAAUGCUUAGGUAUAAGAGAAAAAAAAAAGAAAUAUAAUCAAGAUGGUGUGGCCAAGCAAAGAAAAAGUGAAUAGUUUCAAGACCCAAGACAUUGUCUCCGGUGAAAAUGUGAAUGUGCCACCCUAGAUCUGCUGACACUCAACUGAUCCCAAGACACGUGAGCAAGGCCAGCUGAGGUAGAUGGACUCUAGGGUGACGACCAGUGAUUCCCAC